rnacentral:tRNA from 1 species
GUGGUGGCUCAGUGGAAGAGCCUCCGCUUGGCACGCCGAAGGUCUCAGGUUCUAUCCCUGGCAUCUCCU